GACGAACGCUGGCGGCGUGCUUAACACAUGCAAGUCGAACGGAAAGGCCCUUCGGGGUACUCGAGUGGCGAACGGGUGAGUAACACGUGGGUGAUCUGCCCUGCACUUUGGGAUAAGCCUGGGAAACUGGGUCUAAUACCGAAUAGGACCACGCGCUUCAUGGUGUGUGGUGGAAAGCUUUUGCGGUGUGGGAUGGGCCCGCGGCCUAUCAGCUUGUUGGUGGGGUAAUGGCCUACCAAGGCGACGACGGGUAGCCGGCCUGAGAGGGUGACCGGCCACACUGGGCCUGAGAUACGGCCCAGACUCCUACGGGAGGCAGCAGUGGGGAAUAUUGCACAAUGGGCGCAAGCCUGAUGCAGCGACGCCGCGUGAGGGAUGACGGCCUUCGGGUUGUAAACCUCUUUCAAUAGGGACGAAGCGCAAGUGACGGUACCUAUAGAAGAAGCACCGGCCAACUACGUG
rnacentral:rRNA from 1 species